UGUUAGAUACGAAGAUUUUCAUUUUCUCUGCUCCAGCAGACAGUGGUCAUUGAGUUAAAUGCCAUGAAAAUAUUACUUUUAUAUUACUACUAUAUUUAUUUUGAAACAUAUCAUGUAAAUUCCAUAAAUAGAGCCCUGUGUCAUAAAAGGUAUAUUUUAACAACAUUUCACUUUCGAUGUGAUGUCAUAAUGAUAAACAGUUUAAUUGUUUAAUCAGUUUAUAGGGCUAAUAAAACCGAUAAGAAAAAAGUUCUUCAUUUUAAAAAUUCAGUUUUCUGGGAAGAAAAACCCAAUCAUACAAUGUGAUAGACAAUAAUGGGAAUUAUUACGGAUGUCAGAUAAAACCUCUACCCCUCUAUCAUCUGCACUAAUUUAUACAUUUACUGGAAGAAGAUCUGCCUUUAUCUGACUAAAAUGAUGUCAUACAUGCAAUAAAACAACUGUAAAUUACAGUCCAUAAAGUUGUUAAACUGUGCCAACCGAGAAAAGGUAAUAUCUUACAAGCAGUAAUAAUGCCUUUACAUACCACACCUGAAACUGUUCAUAUAUUAUCGAUAUACAUAUCUGUGACUUUACGGUUACCUGUAAACUGGGAUGUUGCAAGUGAUGUGACCAGGCUAUAAAUAAAGUUUGGGCAAAUGUUGGUCAGAAACCCCUGCGGCACAUGCUGAUUGUGCUCCUGAAGGACCUUUUAUCACUUAAAUCACACUCUGAUCAUUUAGAAGACUGUUUUAGGAUUUGAGAAUAUUUCCAAAUCAGAUCACUGCUUCAGAUUAAGGUAAACUUGCAAGUCAUGGGUUGCGGGAACAGCAGGGAAGGAUGUGAGAACUGUGAGGACAACUGUGAUAACAGCUGCAGCUGCGGAUGUCAUGACAGCACCAGCGUGUCUAACUGUGAAAAGUGUCUGAAGUGCAUCAAAUGUAUGAUGCUUUGUGCUGACAUCAUGGAACAUCUGGGAAAUUGCAUUGAAUGCUGUUCAGAAAUAGAAACUGAGUGAACGGUAUUCUGGAGGCGAUGCAGCAUUCAGGAUGGGUUGCAGCUACUGCGGAAAGGAACAUCAUCCUGUUCGUAAAGACCAUGUUAUCUGUACAAUAUAUUUGCUGACAGAAGCCCAGAAGGAACAAAAUAGCACAUGAAUUUAAAGCAGAAAUUCUUAAACAGUAUACAUCAAAACUGAAAUCUAGUAAUUAACACAUUAGUGAUAAAUUAACACUGUCACUGUUUCCCAAAUAAACACUUUUGAAAGUGUUUAACACUCUCUGACCUGAAAAGUGAAAAAUCCUCUGUUAAAUGAACACUCCUGAGCAUUUAUAUAAAACACACUACAGAGUUAAUGAGAUAAUUAAGUGAUUAAUUAAGUGAUGAUUGAACAUUAGUGAUGAACACGUUGCUGUUAACAAACAGAAUCACUGAUGAAAAGAGAAACAAGAACAGAAACACGAGAAGCAGAAACACAACUACGUGACAAUUUUACAGAUUCAUAUAAAAGAUUGCUUUAAAUAAGUUUAACUAAAACCUGUUAAUACAGAAAACCAUUGACUCUUGUGUUUGGGCUCAAAAGGGAUAAUGAGAAUCACUGCUGUAUUAUUUUAUGUUUUAUUUUUUUUUAUUUUUAUUUUUUAUUUUUUGUUACUACAGUGGGCAUUACUGUCUCGAUUGAACCUCUGAUCCAAGUGUUAAAUGUAAAUGUAUAUAACAUUUUUGCAACAUGUCAUCAUAAAGAUGUUUCAUCUCAUGCCCUUUGCUCUUAUAUGUAUCUUAUAUGUUAACGAGAGCCUGUCUCAGACUGUCAGACUCAGAUCACUUUCAGAUAGCAGCAAUAAAAACAUAAAAAAAGAAAAAAAACAUGCAGUUGUCUGGUAUUUUCUCUCUCUCUCUCUAAUAUGAGCCUUGAACCUUGAACCUCUCUCUCUCAGAUUGCACUCCCAGAAUGCUUUUAACCAAAGCAAAAACUGUGUAUCCAGCAUGCAAUGCAGCAUGAAUAACUAAUGCUGUAGACUUUUUCCACUGUAAAAAAAAAAAAAAAGAAAAACAAUUCCACCUGCAGUAUUUCAACUGAAGUUCGGUU
ensembl:lncRNA